CUGAAGAACAGGCUUCAGGGUUUUGGGCUAAAGUCUCUCUUCAGGUUGCAUGUGUGGUGUUUGAUCAAUAAACAACAUAGUGAGUAUCACUAAGACAGUGUGUCAGUCUAGGGACAUGCCUGUGGCGUGAACAUGGGACUGCGUGUGUACAUGGUUCGAGGUCUGAUCCGUUUGGCAGACCAGUCACCAGAUGUGAAUCAAACAGAACGCCCCCUCUCCUCCUCCCUCCAUCCCUCCUCCUUUCCUAAUUUUCCCUCCUCUCUCAUCUUCCUGUCUCUUCACCCUCCUCUCUCCUCUCCUCAUCCUCCUCUCUCAUCCUCCUGUCUCUUCACCCUCCUCUCUCUCUCCUCUCAUUCUACUGUCUCUUCACCCUCCUCUCUCCUCUCUCAUCCUCCUGUCUCUUCACCCUCCUCUCUCCUCCUCCUCUCUCAUCCUCCUGUCUCUUCACCCUCCUCUCUCCUCUCCUCAUCCUCCUCUCUCAUCCUCCUGUCUCUUCACCCUCCUCUCUCUCUCCUCUCAUUCUACUGUCUCUUCACCCUCCUCUCUCCUCUCUCAUCUUCCUGUCUCUUCACCCUCCUCUCUCCUCUCCUCACCCUCCUCUCUCAUCCUCCUGUCUCUUCACCCUCCUCUCUCCUCUCUCAUCAUCCUGUCUCUUCACCCUCCUCUCUACCCCCACUCUCAUUCUACUGUCUCUUCACCCUCCUCUCUCUCUCCUCUCUCAUUCUACUGUCUCUUCACCCUCCUCUCUCUCUGCUCUCUCAUUCUACUGUCUCUUCACCCUCCUCUCUCUCUCCUCUCUCAUUCUACUGUCUCUUCACCCUCCUCUCUCCCUCCUCUCAUUCUACUGUCUCUUCACCCUCCUCUCUCUCUUCUCUCUCAUUCUACUGUCUCUUCACCCUACUCUCUCUCUCAUCAUCCUGUCUCUUAACCCUCCUCUCUCUCUCCUCUCUCAUCAUCCUGUCUCUUCUCCAUGCCUAUGGUUCUAGACUUGAUCAGACCAGACGUGAAGCAGACAGAUCCAUCGCCCUCUCUCCUCA
rnacentral:lncRNA from 1 species